UACGUAGGGUGCGAGCGUUAAUCGGAAUUACUGGGCGUAAAGCGUGCGCAGGCGGUUUUGUAAGCCAGACGUGAAAUCCCCGGGCUUAACCUGGGAAUGGCAUUUGGGACUGCAAGGCUCGAGUGCGGCAGAGGAGACUGGAAUUCCUGGUGUAGCAGUGAAAUGCGUAGAUAUCAGGAGGAACACCGAUGGCGAAGGCAGGUCUCUGGGCUGACACUGACGCUCAUGCACGAAAGCGUGGGGAGCAAACAGG
rnacentral:rRNA from 1 species